CACCAAACUUGUUCCUGGAGGGCCGGUGUCCUGCAGAGUUUAGCUCCAACCCUAAUCAUACUCACCUGAACCAUCUAAUCAAGGUCUUGCUUGGUAUACGUGAAACUUCAAGGCAGGCGUGUUAAGGGAAGUCGGAGCUAAACUCUGCAGGACACCGGCCCUCCAGGACCGAGUGUGGUGACCCCUGGUCUAAAGUGUGAAAAUGACUGUAAAAGACGGUCUGCUCUUUUGACCGAUCAGGAAAUUAGGAAAACAAGCACGGCAUUGGCGUCUAUAGCGAGGAGGGCAUACAUGUUUUCUCGCUUCUCCGUCAAGCGUGUCGUUCUCAGGACAUCUGUAACCAGGAAGUAAGUCUCUGUUGGUGCUCGAUCACUUGUGUGUAGCCUAGGCUACUAUAUGCGCUGUUUAAAACCAGGACUGUCAGUCAGUACUAUCGAGUUAUGACUGACGACGGAGCUCGGUGGACAUGGUCAUGUUGAGGCAUUGCGUGAAUGUGCUGCUGAUGUGAUAUGUGCUUACUUCAGCUCAGGAUGAGUAAAGAAAUGGAGGUGCUUUCUCCCCUUAUCGAUUCGGGACACGGUGAUGGGUCUGAGGAAGAAACAGAGGAGGAUGACGAGCCCAAAAUCUGUCAAGUAUGUGGAGACAAAUCCACAGGAUACCACUUUAAUGCCAAGACCUGUGAGGGCUGCAAAGGCUUC